AACGCCACCGUUUCCAGCAAACAUUUUAUUUUUGUCUCCGCCCAAAUAAAAACCCUACAUCCUCACGAAACGGCGGCUACCACCGUCGCUGUCCAUCAAUCGGAGUUAUAAACAGCAAUUGGGUCGACCCAGACCUUAGAAAUGAAGCUGGAACAGCGAUCAAGACGUACCGGACCUUCGACUGGGAGUCAAAAAGUAUAUUCCGGCGAGCUCCGGCGAGACGCAUAAUGAGGUUUCGAUGGUGAGGAUCAAUAUUAAAAAAAGUUGGUAAUGCAUCGCUUUUUUUUGGUGGGGGAAUAUAAAAGAUGGGAGGAUGUUCUUUGCAAUUUUAGCAUGGAGAGGCGUUGCUUGGUAGUAUUACUACUUUUUAUUCAGAAAUAUAAAAUGCAACCUUAAAAAGUCUUUGUCAACCAAAAACAAAUGGA